rnacentral:snoRNA from 1 species
GGUACAAAUGAUGAUAUUUUGGGACUUAAUUCUGAAAUCCUUGAUGUGUAAUAUGGGCUGAUGUGC